GGUUUCUCAUGACUGAAUUAUUAAAGUUCUGUAAGAUUUAUUGAAUACUUUUUUCGAACUGUCUCUCGCAGUGGAAUCACCGCCACCAACAGCUCUGGCCGCGCAGUUCGUCAUCGUCCAGUAUUCCUCCAAAAUUCCAUUAUCUCUCCUUGAUUUAUCUGACUCAGUGCGUCUCUAUUCUUCCAUUUACACCCAUAUCUAUCCAAAUGACUGUUUAUAUGCAUCUAUUUGUUAGAGAAGGCUUUUGCCUUUUGGAUUCAAUUUUAUCUGCUCUCUGCGUUGGAUUUGAUGUCUUCUCGGUACUAAUUUUUUUAUUCAGCAAUGGAGCUUGCAUUGUCGAUUGAGAAAUUGGCAAAUGAAAGCUGCUUCACUUGCACAGUGUUGCUGAGAAGAACAAAGAUGUGCAGUUAACAGAUUUUGUUGAAACCGAGUUUUUUUGUUGAGCAGGUGGAAGCCAUCAAGAAAAUAUCUGAAUAUGUUGCUCAACUAAGGACAGUUUUCAAAGGGCACGGUAGGAACCCAUAAUCUGAUUUCGUUG